UUACCGCUCUACAACCCUUUGUGAACAUACCUAACCGUUGCUUCGGCGGGCAGGGGAAGCCUCUCGCGGGCGACCCCUCCCGGCGCCGGCCCCAUCACGGGGGCGGAGCGCCCGCCGGAGGAAACCAAACUCUAUUUACACGACGUCUCUUCUGAGUGGCACAAGCAAAUAAUUAAAACUUUUAACAACGGAUCUCUUGGUUCUGGCAUCGAUGAAGAACGCAGCGAAAUGCGAUAAGUAAUGUGAAUUGCAGAAUUCAGUGAAUCAUCGAAUCUUUGAACGCACAUUGCGCUCGCCAGCAUUCUGGCGAGCAUGCCUGUUCGAGCGUCAUUUCAACCCUCAAGCACCGCUUGGUUUUGGGGCCCCACGGCCGACGUGGGCCCUUAAAGGUAGUGGCGGACCCUCCCGGAGCCUCCUUUGCGUAGUAACUAACGUCUCGCACUGGGAUCCGGAGGGACUCUUGCCGUUAAACCCCCAAAUUUUUUCAGGUUGACCUCGGAUCAGGUAGGACUACCCGCUGAACUUAAGCAUAUCAAUAAGCGGAGGA
rnacentral:rRNA from 1 species